rnacentral:rRNA from 1 species
GCGAAGGUAGCGUAAUCACUUGUUCUUUAAUUGAGGACUAGUAUGAAUGGCCCCACGAAGACUAUGCUGUCUCCUUUUUCUAAUCAAUGAAACUAAUCUCCCCGUGAAGAAGCGGGGAUAACCCUAUAAGACGAGAAGACCCUAUGGAGCUUUAAACAACUGAAGUAUUUGCUUUUAUUUAACAGCUUCAGAAAACUAAACAUAUUUAAGCAUUUUUAACUUCUAGUUUUAGGUUGGGGUGACCAUGGAGUAAAACUUAACCUCCACGCUGAAAGAUAAACCUUCUUAGCAAAAAGCCACAUCUUUAUGCAUCAUCAAACUGACUUACAUUGACCCAAUUAUUUGAUCAACGAACCAAGUUACCCUAGGGAUAACAGCGCAAUCUACUUCAAGAGCCCAUAUCGACAAGUAGGUUUACGACCUCGAUGUUGGAUCAGGGUAUCCUAGUGGUGCAG